AGCUGCGUGGUCAAGACAAAGCGAACUAUUCUUUCGCCUUUUACUAAAGAAUACCGUGUCUUGGCCACUCAAAGCAGCAUACGCCAAUUUUUGGAGGCUUCCUCCAACUUUAGAGGAGGC